UCGAUUCAGCUGAUGAUAAGA
ensembl:piRNA 21ur-15019 ncRNA